rnacentral:tRNA from 1 species
UUAUUUUUUUAGUUAGUGGUUAUAUAAUAGAUAAGUUUGGAAAGUGUAUGGUUGCUAAAAAAAAGGUAAUACAUUAUUUCGAUUGUAAUAAUAGCAAU